rnacentral:rRNA from 1 species
UGGGGAAUUUUGCGCAAUGGGCGAAAGCCUGACGCAGCAACGCCGCGUGGGUGAUGAAGGUCUUCGGACUGUAAAACCCUGUCGUCGGGGACGAAGGUGUGGGGGUUAAUGGCCCUUACGCUUGACGGUACCCGGAGAGGAAGCCCCGGCUAACUCUGUGCCAGCAGCCGCGGUAAUACAGAGGGGGCAAGCGUUAUUCGGAAUUAUUGGGCGUAAAGGGCGCGUAGGCGGUGAUUCAAGUUGGAUGUGUAAUCCCCGGGCUCAACCUGGGAACUGCAUCCAAGACUGGAUCGCUAGAGUGCUGGAGAGGGUGGUGGAAUUCCUCGUGUAGCGGUGAAAUGCGUAGAGAUGAGGAGGAACACCAGUGGCGAAGGCGGCCACCUGGACAGUAACUGACGCUGAUGCGCGAAAGUGUGGGUAGCAAACAGG